rnacentral:rRNA from 1 species
UACGUAGGGGGCAAGCGUUGUCCGGAAUCAUUGGGCGUAAAGAGCGUGUAGGCGGCCCGAUAAGUCCGCUGUGAAAGUCCAGGGCUCAACCCUGGAAUGCCGGUGGAUACUGUCGGGCUCGAAUCCGGAAGAGGCGAGUGGAAUUCCUGGUGUAGCGGUGAAAUGCGCAGAUAUCAGGAGGAACACCAAUGGCGAAGGCAGCUCGCUGGGACGGUACUGACGCUGAGACGCGAAAGCGUGGGGAGCAAACAGG